rnacentral:rRNA from 1 species
UGAAGCCCAGCUUGCUGGGUGGAUCAGUGGCGAACGGGUGAGUAACACGUGAGCAACCUGCCCUCCACUUCGGGAUAAGCCUUGGAAACGGGGUCUAAUACCGGAUAUGAGCGCUCAUCGCAUGGUGGGUGUUGGAAAGUUUUUCGGUGGGGGAUGGGCUCGCGGCCUAUCAGCUUGUUGGUGGGGUGAUGGCCUACCAAGGCGUCGACGGGUAGCCGGCCUGAGAGGGCGACCGGCCACACUGGGACUGAGACACGGCCCAGACUCCUACGGGAGGCAGCAGUGGGGAAUAUUGCACAAUGGGCGCAAGCCUGAUGCAGCGACGCCGCGUGAGGGAUGACGGCCUUCGGGUUGUAAACCUCUUUCAGCAGGGAAGAAGCGCAAGUGACGGUACCUGCAGAAGAAGCGCCGGCUAACUACGUGCCAGACCUGGCGGUACGGUGCUACCAUGCAGUCGACGGUGAAGCCCA